rnacentral:SRP_RNA from 1 species
AUUGCCGUUUGCGCGAUGAGGAUUGGGUCCUGUGCGAUCCUCCGGUGUGAACCCUGUCAGGUCCUGACGGAAGCAGCAGUAAGCGCUUGCGAGGAUGUGCUGCAGGGGUGCCCGGUCUGAGCGCAGGCGGU